GUAUUAUGAAAGCCUAUGCUUUUAUUUUUAGUACCUCUUCAGAGGACUCAGCUAUGUUCUUGGGUUUGGCAAAAUCAUCUCUCCAUCAGCGUGUCUCAGACUAGGAUUCCCCAAAUAGAUGCUUUGGUUUGGUCUUUAGGCUUAUUCUCAACAUUUAAAAGGCAGAUAAAUAGUAGAGAACAACUGCCAAAUGUGUUUCUUCUUUGAAUAAUCAGAGGCACAGAUGACAUUAGUAUAAAUUUCCUCCGUGAUUAGAGUUUUCUCCACUGUGCCACACGUGAUUUUGAGAGAAAGAAGAGAAAUUGUCCAUGGAGUUGAGGGUGGAAGAGAGAAUAUAGCAAGCCCUUAAAGAACAAGCAAGUCAGUGGAAGGCAGAAUGAGAGCUACAAGGACUUUUCAGGUGGAGCCAUUUCCUGAAGGAAGAGGAAAGCAUAUCGUGAAUUUUAAAAAAACAACGCAUAUAAUAGAAGAUCUGGUCAAGUAGGGGGAUCUAAAACAAAAUAAGUGAGUCCCAUCUCCAUUGCUCUGAUCAGACAGUGAAGAGAAGAGUCACACAGGGACUGGAGGAAUCUUUAUGCCUGUGAAUGGCUAGUGGAGAAGCUGCUGUGUCACAGGAGGAGAAAAGCAGAGAAGUGUAUGGAGCCAGAAGAACUUGCAGCAACAGAAGUUGGGUGACCAUAUAAUUAAUCUCACAAACAGGGACUUCUGGAGAAUUUAAGGAGUGUUUACUAAAAAUUAUUCUGAAACAAUAGGUAAAAUGAGACUGUCUCAGGAAAAAUAGGACUUAAGAUCACCCUAAAUUUAAGUCCUGGAAUUUGGGAGAAAAAUAUUCUUCUCCCUGAAUAAAACCUAAGAAGAAAGAAAAGAAGUUACAUUUAAGUGAUAAAAUCUGUCAUUGAGGGACAUUUGAGAGAGACUUGCUGGCCACCCUCAUACAAACUGUAGAUCUGUUAACUUUCCAAUGAUGUAAGACCUUCCCAGAUUCACCUCCAUACUCAUAUGGAGGCCUGCUGGCGGGAGUACAAUUUACACUCCUAAUAAAAUUUUAAAGGACACAAUGAUUUGUUUAUCAUACCAACAUAAUUCCUUGGGUCACUAAACACAUUCCUACAUUUAACUAUACUUGUAGAGUAUCCAGCACACGACACUGAGUGACCAACCAUUGUCAUCUGAGGACAGGAUAUGAGACUUUCUGUGCUAAAACCAGGAUAGUUCCUGGAAAACUGGGAUGGUUGGUCACUCUACCAACAGAUCAAAACCUCCCUCUGGUAAGGUACUCAGCUAAUUUUCUCUCUAUUCAUUUCCAUAUUUUGAUGUUUUUGUUCUCUAAAUUGUGUCUAAAUUGUGCAAUAAAUAUUGUUGUGGACUGAAUUGUGUCCUCCCAAAAUUCAUGUGAUGAAGCCUAUUUCCUAGUACCUUGAAAUAGGACUAUUUGGAGAUAGAGUCUUUACAGAAGAAAUUAAGGUGAAAUAAAGCUGUUGGGGUGGGCCCUAAUCCAAAAUGAAUAGUGGCCUUCUAAGAAGAGGAAGAGACACCAGAGAUGCACAGGCACAGAGAAAAGACCAUGUGAAAACCAGAAGAAGACAGCAAUAUGCAAUCCAAGGAGAGAGGCUUUCAGAAGAAACCAGUCUGGUGAUGCCUUGGUCUUGAACUCUUGCCCUCCAGAGCUGUGAGGAAAUAAAUUUCUGUUGCUAAAGUCCCCCCAGCAUGAGGCACUUUGUUAUGGCCUCCCUAGCAAACUAAUAAUAAGACAUCACAAAAGUCAUUUUGUCCUGAACCUCAUUGCCUAAAAGACUUGAAAAUCUAAAUUCUCUAGAGGAAUGAUUUCAUGGUGGUUGAAAAUGUGGCAAUCCAUCUAGUUUCAACCUAAUUUUUUCCAGUGAUUUGUACUCUAGGAAUAGCAAUCCAGAUUUUUCAUAAGCCUUCAAAUUGCAUUUCAUUUCUCCUUCAUUAAGAAAUCUGCAUGAUUUGCAUUCUGUCCAUCUGUCCAAGUUCAUUUCAUCUCUCUGAGGAGUUGACCUGUCUUUCUGCUUAGUACAUAUAAUUGGUUUUGAUGUCCAUGUUAGAUCAAGUUUAAUUAUCAGGUGGCCAAUAGUCCCCAUUGGCUUAGUUACUCCAAGUUUACUCAUUUAGAAUAUAUUGUUAUUUAACAACACAUCAGAACUGAAAUUAUUGCAGUUAGAGUCUGUCAUUUAAGUCUUUAAAUCAUACCCACAGUACAUUAUAGUUUUGUUCACUAAUUACUAAGUAUAUUAUGAAAAAGCAAAUUAACAUUUUGAAAAUAAGCAUCCAGCAUUACAUUCAUGAAAGUGGAAAAAUACUUUUUUCCCUUCUCAUUGGGAAGACUUUAAAUUUAAUCCUUUUUCUUACUUUAACAUUUAAAUUUCUUGUUGAAAUACAAGCACAAGUUCUUGGUCUCAGUCGACUAGAGAAUCACAUAAUUCACUGAAGAGCACUAUUAGACCAACUAACUAGUGAUCUGGUCUUAUGUUAGUUUCAGUCUCUGCUUCAACAACUCUUCUCUGAAGUCUCCUAAGCAGAUGGGGUUAUCUUAUUCCUAAUAUUACCCACUGUUCUCCUUCCCCUAGUUCACCAUUUGUUAUAAUCUGAGACACUCCUGAUUCUUUUUUGUUUUCUUUUUCAUGAGAAUAUUCCCUGAAAGCAUUAUGGACAUGGACAAAUAUUCUCUCAUCUAUCCAAUGGUGCAUCAGAGGCUCUCUUACUUAAAUGUAAUUCCCUCCCCACCCCCC